rnacentral:rRNA from 1 species
UGGGGAAUCUUGCGCAAUGGGGGAAACCCUGACGCAGCGACGCCGCGUGCGGGAUGAAGGCCUUCGGGUUGUAAACCGCUUUCAGCAGGGACGAGGCCUUAUGGUGACGGUACCUGCAGAAGAAGCUCCGGCUAAAUACGUGCCAGCAGCCGCGGUAAUACGUAUGGAGCAAGCGUUAUCCGGAUUCAUUGGGCGUAAAGCGCUCGUAGGCGGUCUGUUAGGUCGGCAAGUUAAAUCCGGGGGCUCAACCCCCGUCCGCUUCCGAUACCGGCAGACUUGAGUUUGGUAGGGGAAGGUGGAAUUCCUAGUGUAGCGGUGGAAUGCGUAGAUAUUAGGAGGAAUACCGGUGGCGAAGGCGACUUGCUGGACUUCAACUGACGCUGAGGAACGAAAGCGUGGGUAGCAAACAGG